GACGAACGCUGGCGGCGUGCUUAACACAUGCAAGUCGAACGGAAAGGCCCUGCUUUUGUGGGGUGCUCGAGUGGCGAACGGGUGAGUAACACGUGAGUAACCUGCCCUUGACUUUGGGAUAACUUCAGGAAACUGGGGCUAAUACCGGAUAGGAGCUCCUGCUGCAUGGUGGGGGUUGGAAAGUUUCGGCGGUUGGGGAUGGACUCGCGGCUUAUCAGCUUGUUGGUGGGGUAGUGGCUUACCAAGGCUUUGACGGGUAGCCGGCCUGAGGAGGUGACCGGCCACAUUGGGACUGAGGUCAGGCCCAGACGCCUACGGGGGGCAGCGGGGGGGAAUAUUGCACAAUGAGCGGAAGCCUGAUGCAGCAACGCCGCGUGCGGGAUGACGGCCUUCGGGUUGUAAACCGCUUUCGCCUGUGACGAAGCGUGAGUGACGGUAAUGAGUAAAGAAGCACCGGCUAACUACGUG
rnacentral:rRNA from 1 species